rnacentral:rRNA from 1 species
AGAUUGAACGCUGGCGGCAUGCCUUACACAUGCAAGUCGAACGGCAGCACGGGAGCAAUCCUGGUGGCGAGUGGCGAACGGGUGAGUAAUAUAUCGGAACGUGCCCAGUCGUGGGGGAUAACGCGAGCGAAAGCUGUAGCUAAUACCGCAUACGAUCUAUGGAUGAAAGCGGGGAUCGCAAGACCUCGCGCGAUUGGAGCGGCGAUACUCGAGUAUUAGCUAGGUUGGGUAGGGUAAACGCCUACCAAGGCGACGAUCGUGUAGCUGGUCUGAGACGGACGACCAGCCACACGUGAACGUGACGACGACGGUACCAGGACCUACGUACGGGAGACAG